rnacentral:rRNA from 1 species
AAUCAACGCUGGCGGCGUGCCUCAGACAUGCAAGUCGAACGCGAAAGGUUCCUUCGGGAGCCGAGUAGAGUGGCGCUCGGGUGAGUAACACGUAGGUAAUUUGCCUUUGGGUGGGGAAUAACAAUCGGAAACGGUUGCUAAUACCGCAUAAUGCAGCGGCUCGGCAUCGAGACAGUUGUUAAAGCGGGGGAUCCUUCGGGACCUCGCGCCUAAAGAGAAGCCUGCGGCGGAUUAGCUAGUUGGUGAGGUAAUGGCUCACCAAGGCGACGAUCCGUAACCGGCCUGAGAGGGCGGACGGUCACACUGACACUUAAAUACGGGUCAGACUCCUACGGGAGGCAGCAGUCGGGAAUUUUGGGCAAUGGGCGAAAGCCUGACCCAGCAACGCCGCGUGAAGGAUGAAAUCCCUCGGGAUGUAAACUUACGCAAGAACGGGAAGAAUAAGCGAGAGUAAAUACCUCUCGUGAUGA